rnacentral:misc_RNA from 1 species
GAUGAAGAACGCAGCGAAAUGCGAUAAGUAAUGUGAAUUGCAGAAUUCAGUGAAUCAUCGAAUCUUUGAACGCACAUUGCGCCCCUUGGUAUUCCGAGGGGCAUGCCUGUUCGAGCGUCAUUAUAACCCCUCAAGCUUAUCUUGGUGUUGGGGCCUGCUGUAAUAGAGCAGCCCUUAAAAUCAGUGGCGGUGCCAUUAGGCUCUAAGCGUAGUAAUUCUUCUCGCUAUAGGGUUCUGGUGGAUGCUUGCCAUUAACCUCUAAUUUUCUAUGGUUGACCUCGGAUCAGGUAGGGAUACCCGCUGAACUUAAGCAUAUCAAUAAGCGGAGGA